AAACCAACUUGAUGGCUGUCUACUACCCGGUGACAAGCUGAGCGGAGCAAAUUCCCAUUGUUGGCCACAAAGGCCCCUCCGAGUGCUUCGACACUACCCUAUGUUACCUGGAGGCUGACUUUGUCCCGGAGUGUCAAGGUGCCUUCACUGUACAUCUACUGACUGCUUCCAUUUAUGACAGCCUACCAAGACACUGCUGAUACAUGAAGACUCCUGUUUGCUGGCUUCACCUCAAGAAUUUUGCUGCAAAAUUGGCUGCUGUCUACAUGCAGAGCUACAAAAAAAAAUUGAACCCCCCGUUUUUCUUCACGUUAGGUAUCAAUGACACAAGAAGAUGGAUUUAUAGUUGUGAUAACACACAUCUUUAGCAGAGGAAUAUGAAAAGGAAUCCCUAACACCGCGAGCAGAGAACGAGUAAAAAUGUAGUACCAAACUCGUCAAGAGAUGACGCCACCUCCGAGAUAGAACGCGCCAACGAUGUGUCGACGUAUAAUCAUGGCGUCCGAGAUACAAAUUACCGAUCGAUUUAGAAUUUUUGGAGAAGAUUAGUGCCUGUUGACUGCAUAA